rnacentral:rRNA from 1 species
GACGAACGCGGCGCCGUGCUUAACACAUGCAAGUCGAACGAAAAGAGGGAAAGAGCUUGCUCUUUCGGAAUGAGUGGCCACGUGUGAGUAACACGUAACAACCUGCCUUCAGGAUGGGGACAACAGACGGAAACGACUGCUAAUACCGAAUAAGUUCCCAGAGCCGCAUGGCCCAUGGAAGAAAAGGUGGCCUAUACCUGUAAGCUAUCGCAUGAAGAGGGGUUUGCGUCUGAUUAGCUGGUUGGAGGGGUAACGGCCCACCAAGGCGACGAUCAGUAGCCGGUCUGAGAGGAUGAACGGCCACACUGGAACUGAGACACGGUCCAGACUCCUACGGGAGGCAGCAGUGGGGAAUCUUCCGCAAUGGGCGAAAGCCUGACGGAGCAACGCCGCGUGAGUGAUGACGGCCUUCGGGUUGUAAAACUCUGUGAUCCGGGACGAAAAGGCAGAGUGCGAAGAACAAACUGCAUUGACGGUACCGGAAAAGCAAGCCACGGCUAACUACGUGCCAGCAGCCGCGGUAAUACGUAGGUGGCAAGCGUUGUCCGGAAUUAUUGGGCGUAAAGCGCGCGCAGGCGGCUUCCCAAGUCCCUCUUAAAAGUGCGGGGCUUAACCCCGUGAUGGGAAGGAAACUGGGAAGCUGGAGUAUCGGAGAGGAAAGUGGAAUUCCUAGUGUAGCGGUGAAAUGCGUAGAGAUUAGGAAGAACACCGGUGGCGAAGGCGACUUUCUGGACGAAAACUGACGCUGAGGCGCGAAAGCGUGGGGAGCAAACAGG